GUCGGCGUCAUCACCGUCCAGACCACCUCAGUGCCCGUCACGGCCGAUUUGCCGGGCCGCACGAACUCGUUCCUGAACGCACAGGUGCGUGCGCGAGUCGACGGCAUCGUGCUGCGCCGCGACUUCAUCGAAGGCUCCGAUGUGAAGGUCGGCCAGCGUCUUUACAAGAUCGA
rnacentral:ncRNA from 1 species